GGUGGAGCGAAUCNCAAAACUACGGUCUCAGUUCAGAUUGCAGGCUGCAACUCGCCUGCAUGAAGUUGGAAUUGCUAGUAAUCGCGAAUCAGAAUGUCGCGGUGAAUACGUUCCCGGGCCUUGUACACACCGCCCGUCACACCAUGAGAGUUGGCAAUACCCAACGUACGUGAUCUAACCCGCAAGGGAGGAAGCGUCCUAAGGUAGGGUCAGCGAUUGGGGUGAAGUCGUAACAAGGUAGC
rnacentral:rRNA from 1 species